CCUACGGGUGGCAGCAGUGAGGAAUAUUGGUCAAUGGGCGCGAGCCUGAACCAGCCAAGUAGCGUGAAGGAUGACUGCCCUACGGGUUGUAAACUUCUUUUAUAAAGGAAUACAGUGAGGCACGUGUGCCUUUUUGUAUGUACUUUAUGAAUAAGAGUCGGCUAACUCCGUGACAGCAGCCGCGGUAAUACGGAGGAUCCGAGCGUUAUCCGGAUUUGUUGGGUUUAAAGGGAGCGUAGAUGGGUUGUUAAGUCAGUUGUGAAAGUUUGCGGCUCAACCGGGAAAUUGCAAUUGAUACUGGCAGCCUUGAGUACAGUUGAGGUAGGCGGAAUUCGUGGUGUAGCGGUGAAAUGCGUAGAUAUCACGAAGAACUCCGAUUGCGAAGGCAGCCUACUAAACUGCCACUGACAUUGAUGCUCGAAAGUGUGGGUAUCAAACAGGAUUAGAUACCCGAGUAGUC
rnacentral:rRNA from 1 species